ACGAGUCUGUAAUAUAGACAAAUUUAUGUAAGUCAUUUAGUAAAGCCACUCAAUAAAAGAAAUAGGUUAAUGUCAAUUAUAAACGAAUAUCUUUCUUAAAUACUUAUUCAUAAAUACAUGCUACAAACAGGCUCUUUAUCCCCAUGAAUGUUUUUUCUUAAGUAAGGAAUAAUAAAUGUCUAACAAAAUCACUGGCUUAGUAAAAUGGUUUGAUUCAAGUAAAGGCUUUGGUUUCAUUACUCCAAGCGAUGGAAGCAAAGAUGUGUUUGUUCAUUUUUCUGCCAUUCAAAGCAACAACUUCAAAACUCUUGAUGAAGGCCAACGCGUAGAAUUCACCAUUGAGCAGGGUCAGAAAGGUCCAUCUGCUGCUAACGUAGUUAGCCUGUAAAUACCAUAAUAGAUCCCAAUGAAAUGUCGGCGAAACACUAAGCAAGUCGCCGUCGUUUUGU
rnacentral:sRNA from 1 species